CGAGCCGGGCGGACGGCCGCGUGAAGAUCCCCUGCGGGAUCUUCCCGAGGAACGUCCGGGCUCCACAGGGCAGGGUGGUGGCUAACGGCCACCCGGGGUGACCCGCGGGACAGUGCCACAGAAAACAGACCGCCGGGGCUGUGCUCUUUUACAGAGGGCGGUCCUCGGUAAGGGUGAAACGGUGGUGUAAGAGACCACCAGCGCCUGGGGUGACCCAGGCGGCUCGGUAAACCCCACCUGGAGCAAGGUCAAGAGGGGCCGCCGUAAAGGCGGCCCUGCGCGGAUGUUCGAGGGCGGCCCGCCCGAGUCCGCGGGUAGACCGCACGAGGCCGGCGGCAACGCCGGUCCUAGAUGGAUGGCCGUCGCCUCCGGGCCCGCGAGGACCCGGGGGAACAGAACCCGGCGUACAGCCCGACUCGUCUG
rnacentral:RNase_P_RNA from 2 species